rnacentral:rRNA from 1 species
CACGGGGGGAGCAAGCGUUGUUCGGAAUCACUGGGCGUAAAGGGCGUGUAGGCGGAUAGGUAAGUGGGACGUGAAACCCCUCGGCUCACCCGAGGACCUGCGUCCCAAACUGCCGGUCUUGAGUACGGGAGAGGAUGAGGGAAUUCCUGGUGUAGCGGUGAAAUGCGUAGAUAUCAGGAGGAACACCGGUGGCGAAGGCGCUCAUCUGGCCCGAUACUGACGCUGAGGCGCGAAAGCUAGGGGAGCAAACGGG